rnacentral:tRNA from 1 species
GCCUGGGUGGCUCAGUCGGUUGAGCGUCCGACUUCAGCUCAGGUCACGAUCUCACGGAUCGUGAGUUCGAACCCCGCAUCAGGCU